CUGGUUGAUCCUGCCAGACCCGACUGCUAUCGGAUUGGGACUAAGCCAUGCGAGUCAACUCCGCAAGGGGUGGCGCACGGCUCAGUAACACGUAGUCAACCUACCCUGGGGACGGGGAUAACCUCGGGAAACUGAGGCUAAACCCCGAUGGGCCAUGGCUCCUGGAAUGGGCUAUGGCUGAAAUCUACAUGGCCCCAGGAUGGGACUGCGGCCGAUCAGGUUGUUGGUGGGGUAAUGGCCCACCAAGCCUAUAACCGGUGCGGGCUCUGAGAGGAGGAGCCCGGAGAUAGGCACUGAGACAAGGGCCCAGGUCCUAUGGGGCGCAGCAGGCGCGAAACCUCCGCAAUGGGCGAAAGCCCGACGGGGUCAGUCCGAGUGGUUCCCGCUGAGGGAACCUUUUGCCAGCUGUAAACAGGCUGGCGAAUAAGGGGUGGGCAAGUUUGGUGUCAGCCGCCGCGGUAAUACCAGCACCCCGAGUGGUCGGGACGAUUAUUGGGCCUAAAGCAUCCGUAGCCGGCCCAGUAAGUCCUCCGUUAAAUCCAACGGCUCAACCGUUGGGCUGCGGGGGAUACUGCUGGGCUAGGGGACGGGAGAGGCGAGGGGUAUUCCCGGGGUAGGGGUAAAAUCCACUGAUCCCGGGAGGACCACCAGUGGCGAAGGCGCCUCGCUAGAACGUGCCCGACGGUGAGGGAUGAAAGCUGGGGGAGCGAACCGGAUUAGAUACCCGGGUAGUCCCAGCCGUAAACGAUGUAGGCUCGGUGUUGGGCUGCCUCAGUGGCAGCCCAGUGCCGCAGGGAAGCCGUUAAGCCUACCGCCUGGGGAGUACGGCCGCUAGGCUGAAACUUAAAGGAAUUGGCGGGGGAGCACCAC
rnacentral:rRNA from 1 species